AUGUUAUUAGGCUAGAAAUUUAUAAGAAUAUAACAUUAUUUUAGUAAAUUGUUUAAAACAUAUAAUCUAAAAUACAAACUAAAUAUAUGCAGAAAUAAAAAAAAAACAAAACAUAUUAUUGGGGUUAUGUUACAUUUGUCGAUUUCAUUGUAUUAUUUGAGUUUUAUUAUUUAUAUAUAACUAUUGAUAUGGAAAAACAUUUUGCAGCAUUAAAAUUAUUCGAUUCAGAUUCUGAUAAAAUAUUAACAGAAGCACUUAAUUAUUCUGAAACGCCAUCUUCUUCUCGAAUUUGUUUAAAUCAAAUUUAUCGGUCUAAAAGUCAGUCUAACUUGGUUAGACAAUAUAGUUAUGAACAAAUUUUUAAUGAAAAUAUAACUUCAAAACAAAUAAAAUUACCAGAAUUUGCGCAAACUGGCAAUAGAACUAUUAAUUAUCAAACAACGGAAUUUUAUUAUAGCCCGAAUAAAUCUCUUAAUAGACAGUUUUCCAAAAGUAGUAAUAUAUUACAAGCACCAAAAUUUGUUUUAAACAAAACAUCAAAUGAAAUAUCCUCUAGUACAAAUAAUAUAAAUGAAUCAAAGUCUUUGUUAUAUUGUCCUAUAAAAAAUACAAUAACAAAUGUGACAGAUACAAAAAAUGAAGUUGAAGACUUAUCAUCUGUAAAAAUAAAUAAUUGUGAAGAAGUACAUACUAUAUCAGAAGUAAAAGAUGUUACAAAAAUUAUAGACGAAAAGACGUAUCAAAAUAUAAAAAAGAAAUUUAGACCAUUAGUAAUGAAGAAUAAAAUUGCUCAAAAAAAAAAGACAAAUAUGUGUUAUUAUAGUUGUUUAACUUUAGGUAUAUUACCAGUAAUUGCAAUCAUAUUUGCAUUACUGUUAGAUUUAAAUCUACCCACAUUUUGUGAUCGUGCUAUGAUUUUUUCAAAUGCUAGUCAAGAAUUACAACAAAAAAUACAUGGACAGGAAAAUGCAAUUUCACAAAUUAUUAAUCAUUUAAAUCAAGAUUUCUUUUAUUUGAAAGUUUUAUGUCUCAUAGGUGGAACAGGAGUUGGAAAAUCUUAUACUGUCGAUACAAUAGCAAAACAUUUUCCUUUUAGAAAAGCAAUUCAUACAUAUGAUGCACUGUUAGAUUAUUCUAUGGAUAUGAACAUGUUAAAUUCAUUACCUUCAUAUCAAUUAUUUAUUAUGGAAAAUUUAAAAAUAAAAGAUUUGGAUAUCUUUUCUAAUAUACUAGAUAUGCUAAGUCAAAAAAGAGAUAAAUGUAUUACAAUAAUAGCAAUUUUUAAUGUAGAAGAAAUAAAUGAUAACUUAGAAAGAAAAAUAGAUUUAAUACAAAGUACAAGUAAAAUUCAAGAAAUACUGAUUAGGAAAAAAAUUGAUAGUUUAAUUGUUCCUUAUCAACCUUUGAGUGAAGAAACAUUACAGACUUGUAUAAUAGAAGCAGCAACUGCUAGUGAUUUAACACUUACAUUGGAUCAAAUAAAUGAAAUUAAAGAAAGCUUAUUACAGUUUGGCAGUGGCUGCAAAGGAGCCUAUGCUAAGAUCUUUAUAAACAGUCGAGGUACUAAUUUGAUAUAAUUUACUAUAUUCAUGUAACAAGUCUUUAAUUAAAUCAUUAUCAUAAAGUCAGAUUAGUAAAGUAUCUAUGAUUCUAUGUUUCUUGUUUUUAUUCUUUUAUAUAUAAAAACAACGAUUGCCUCGAAAAAUGAAGCAAAAAUCGACAAUUGAUGUCAUAAUGAUAUGCAGACAUUAAUAGAGAAUGACAUCUUUAUUAAAAUGAACAUAAUUGUGGGGAUACAGUAACAUUUCACUUUCUGAUGGCAAAUGUUUGAAUCAUUGCGUGUCAAAGCUUAGUAAGAAAACACCACCGAAGCAACUGUUACGUACUAUUUAUGUCAGUAUAAUCAUUAUUGUUAUGCAAAACCAUAACAAUCUAAUUCGUAAUUGUAUCAAUAUAUAUUCUUUGUUUUUCCUUUUUACUUUAAAAAUGCUUAUUCUUUAAUAAAUGAUACUUCUGUUUUCAUUACACUUUCUUUCAUUCGAUU